UCCAGUUCUGGGUGAGUUUCUG
rnacentral:miRNA from 1 species